GGAUCUUGAAUCAGCAUUUGACUCCUUAUGCAAUGAAAAGCACGAACUUGAGGAGAAACUUAAGAGUCAGAUGGAUGAGACUAGUCAAUUCAGGGAGGAAAAGUUUGAGCUGGAGAAGAAAUUUUUUGAAUUAGAAAGUACCUUGACAGAUAAAGGAGUUGAGCUUUCUACUCUCCAUGAGAAACACAGAAAUGGAGAGGCUGAA
rnacentral:misc_RNA from 1 species